rnacentral:tRNA from 1 species
GCCGAUGUGAUGAAAUUGGUAGACAUAGGGGAUUCAAAAUCCCCCGCUGGCAACAGCGUGGCGGUUCGAGUCCGCCCAUCGGUACCA